rnacentral:rRNA from 1 species
AGCAGCCGCGGUAAUUCCAGCUCCAAUAGCGUAUAUUAAAGUUGUUGCAGUUAAAAAGCUCGUAGUUGAAUUUCGGGAUCAAUUAAUUGGUCAUGCUUCUGGUACGUACUGAUUUUAUUGGUUUCUCCCUUCUGACGAACCAUGAUGUCAUUAAUUUGGUGUCGUGGAGAAUCAGGACUGUUACUUUGAAAAAAUUAGAGUGUUUAAAGCAAGCUAACGCUUGAAUACAUUAGCAUGGAAUAAUGAAAUAGGACGUUUGAUCCUAUUUUGUUGGUUUCUAGGAUCGACGUAAUGAUUAAUAGGGAUAGUUGGGGGCAUUAGUAUUCAAUUGUCAGAGGUGAAAUUCUUGGAUUUAUUGAAGACUAACUACUGCGAAAGCAUUUGCCAAGGAUGUUUUCAUUAAUCAAGAACGAAAGUUAGGGGAUCGAAGACGAUCAGAUACCGUCGUAGUCUUAACCAUAAACUAUGCCGACUAGGGAUCGGAUGAUGUUAAUUUUUUAAUGACUCAUUCGGCGCCUUA